rnacentral:piRNA from 1 species
UGAGGACAUUAUACCCUUUACCUUCAGAGA